GUAAGCUCUUAGAGGCAUGUGUGUCUAACACAAGGAAAGUUUAAGGCAACAACAGGUCUGUGAUGUCCUUAGAUGAACAUGGCUGCACACGUGCUACACUGAUAUGUAUAACGAGUUAUUAAAAUUACGAUUCAGCUUGCUGUUUCGUAUUUUUUCCUCCACUGAAAAGUGUAUGGUAAUCUUUAUCAGUACAUAUCGUGAUGGGGAUAGAUUAUUGCAAUUAUUAAUCUUGAAC
rnacentral:rRNA from 1 species